AACGAACGCUGGCGGCAUGCCUAACACAUGCAAGUCGAACGAGACCUUCGGGUCUAGUGGCGCACGGGUGCGUAACGCGUGGGAACCUGCCUUUAGGUUCGGAAUAACUCAGAGAAAUUUGAGCUAAUACCGGAUAAUGUCUUCGGACCAAAGAUUUAUCGCCUUUAGGAUGGGCCCGCGUAAGAUUAGCUAGUUGGUGGGUAAAGCCUACCAAGGCGACGAUCUUUAGCUGGUCUGAGAGGUAUGAUCAGCCACACUGGGACUGAGACACGGCCCUAGACUCCUACGGGAGGCAGCAGUGGGGAAUAUUGGACAAU
rnacentral:rRNA from 1 species